rnacentral:misc_RNA from 1 species
AUCAAGGUCACUUCCGGAAUAUUUACCUUCCCUUACUACUGAGGUCACCCAGUUUACAUGUCGGAUGUCCACUAAGUGUUUCGCUGUGAGACGAUUUGUAUCCGACGCCCAUCUGUUUACGAGGACAAUUGUAAUCCUAGACUGAGCUUCCACCAUCACAGUAUCUCGCCAGCCAUCCACCAGGAAAGCUGUUACUAGGAAUGACUGAUUGGCGAGCGUUUGUAUAUGGAGGUUUGGCGUCUAUGACAGCUGAGUUGGGGACUUUUCCCGCUGAUACCACCAAGACAAGGUUACAGGUCCAGGGCCAGAAGAUAGAUGUCCACAACCGUGAGCUGCGCUACCGUGGCAUGAUACAUGGCCUGGUCCGAAUAGCCAAAGAAGAGGGCGGCAGAGCGCUGUAUAACGGAAUUGCACCGGCAUUGUUGAGGCAGGCUACCUAUGGUACAAUCAAGAUAGGCAUUUAUCAUUCUCUUAAACGGGCUAUUGUGAAAAAUCCUAAAGAUGAGACACUCAUGCUCAACAUGUUUUGUGGUGUGGUGGCAGGAGUGGUGUCUAGUGCCGUGGCCAACCCUACAGAUGUCCUCAAGGUGAGAAUGCAAGCUGACAGUAGCAAGGAAAAGCGAUCUCCAUUACCAAGAGCCUUCUUAAACAUUUACCAAACAGAAGGCACAAAAGGACUAUGGCGGGGCGUCGUUCCAACGUCCCAGCGGGCAGCUGUUGUAGCCGGUGUAGAACUUCCAGUCUACGACAGAAGCAAGAAAUACAUCAUAAAUCAUGGCCUACUGGGUGACACAAUAUUUACACAUUUCAUAGCCAGUAUAAUAGCCGGUCUGGCGGGGGCCAUCACCUCUAACCCCAUCGACGUUAUCAAGGUACAGUUUAGCUCAUCAUCAUGGCGACUAGCUCCUGAGUGGAUGGCCGAUUGAAUCGAAGGAUUGAUCACAUGAUACAUCUUUUAGCCCCUCCCCACUCUUGACACGAGGCUGGGGUCAAAGCGGGGUCACGCAUGUGACGAGGCCCUAGCGACUGCCCUCACCCGAGCAUAACUCGAAUGAUGAAUCAGAGAGCACUGAAGAGCACUGUUGUAGGGGAGGCAGCAGCCGUACAGACAAUUUAUACCU